AAUAAGCCUCAGAGGAAGAAGUUUAGUUUUACCGCGCUCUCUGUAGUUUUGUCGUGAUGCUGUCUCAAUACAAACGGUUAUAAAUGUUGUUUCUGAAUAUAUCUGGAGGAGUAUCAUCUGAACUGAGAUCUGCUGCUGUGAAGAUGGAGUUUGUUAAAGAGGAGAGUGAAGAGAACACGGGUGAACCAGAAACAUGGAGAAUAAAACACGAAAAACUAGAAACCUGGAGAAUAAAACACGAGGAACCAGAAACCUGCAGAAUAAAACACGAGAAACCAGAAACCGGGAGAAUAAAACACGAGGAACCAGAAACCCGGAGAAUAAAACACGAGGAACAAGGAGGUUGGUGUUUAUUCUUCAUUCAUCUUUAAUUAAUUUUUGUGGUACAUACACCGAUCCUUUAUGUAAAAAUAAGACCUUAACUAUCAUUAAAAUGUCUUAAAUCCAUGUUUCAAAGCUCUUAUGGAAAUGUGACUUAACGGACACUGAGGGUAAUUAAUUUUUACUUUAAUUAGACUUUAUUUUUGCUUUAUGGAAACAUAAAACUGUUGAACUCAGAGUGUGUGAGACUGUUUUUUUCUUUUUUAAACAUAAGUAUAAAACACAUUUUAAGUAAAGUCGCUGUAGGACUGUGGUUAUUUUAAAUCAUGUGAAUGUCUCAGAAGAGCAUUAUUUGCUUGUUUGGUACAUUUCACUGUAAGUAAGUAACAGUUUUGCAGCAGGCUUUACAAACUGACUUUUACUGUAAGAUAUAUGUGACCCUGGAGCACAAAAGCAGUCAAAAGUAGCACAGGUAUAUUUGUAGCAAUAGCCAAAAUACAUUUUAUGGGUCAAAAUUAUCAAAUUGUCUUUUAUGCCAAUGUCUGAUCUGUAAUCAGUGAUUUCUGAUGUGUAAUCAGUUCAGUCAGAUUUUAUUUGUCUCAAGUGUUAAAUAUUUGUGUGUGUGUGUGGAAAUCAAGCCAGUGACCAAACUAAACAUGGUUUCUUAUUUCUCAUUCUUAUUUUUUUUAAUUAAUCGAUUAAUCCAUUUUUUUUUUAAAAAGCCCAGUUUUCUUUUAUUUUUAUUUUUUCAUUUUAUUGACAAAAACACACUAUUCCAAAUUCUGUCCAAUGUUUUUCAAACAAAUGUGCCAACUUAAUGGUAUGAAAACAUACAGUGCUUAACAAUUUAUUAGACCGCCUGCCAUAAUAAAGAGAGAAAACAAACAUUUUAGGAAUCUGUA
ensembl:lncRNA